rnacentral:rRNA from 1 species
GAUGAACGCCGGCGGUGUGCCUAAUACAUGCAAGUCGUACGCACUGGCCCAACUGAUUGAUGGUGCUUGCACCUGAUUGACGAUGGAUCACCAGUGAGUGGCGGACGGGUGAGUAACACGUAGGUAACCUGCCCCGGAGCAGGGGAUAACAUUUGGAAACAGAUGCUAAUACCGCAUAACAACAAAAGCCACAUGGCUUUUGUUUGAAAGAUGGCUUUGGCUAUCACUCUGGGAUGGACCUGCGGUGCAUUAGCUAGUUGGUAAGGUAACGGCUUACCAAGGCGAUGAUGCAUAGCCGAGUUGAGAGACUGAUCGGCCACAAUGGAACUGAGACACGGUCCAUACUCCUACGGGAGGCAGCAGUAGGGAAUCUUCCACAAUGGGCGCAAGCCUGAUGGAGCAACACCGCGUGAGUGAAGAAGGGUUUCGGCUCGUAAAGCUCUGUUGUUGGAGAAGAUAAUGACGGUAUCAGGAGAAGAAGCCCCGGCUAACUCCGUGCCAGCAGCCGCAGUAAGAC